GCAUCACCAUGGAAAGGGUCGAAACCUUGCGCUAUCCCCACGCGGGAGCCACCGGUGGUAGGGAAGACGGUCGCGGUUGGAAGCAGUGGCGGCUUGCAGCGUGUGCCAACCGACGGGGACGCCUGGACGCGGCCGCAGCGGCGGACGCGCGCCCAAGCGAGGGCGGCUGGAUGCGGCGGUGGAGACUCGCCGGACGGCCGGACGGGCGGCGGCUGGCGGACGCGGCGACGGCUGGACCGGCAGUGGCCAUGGCCCAUCCCUGGCUCCGAUUCGCCCGCCACCUGCGCUGGACGCGGGACCCUACGGCGGCGGCUGGACGCGGCGGUAAGGAGACACGGUCAGCCGGUCAGCGCGGCAGUACGGGCUUCUUCCUCAUCUCUAGGAGCAGGGGGCGUUGCGCGACCAGGACGACUCCAAUGACCAUGAGCAUGGCGCCUCCGCCGGAGCACAACGCCCUUCUUUCUUCUCGCUAGGGUUGGAUGUCUAGCAGAUUCACUAAUAGCGAGCACCACCAUUCGUGUUCAUGACCUGCAUGGCUGCUGCAGGCCUCUCUUCGCUCUCCAACAACAAGGCACCAGUAAUUUUUGAGUCGCUGGUUAGCAUGUCGACGACAUGCUCUUUUUCAUCAGCUUGAAGGUUGCAGCCUUCCUCCUCCUCUCAAUGGUUGCUUUUGUCAGUGGGACAGUUUAUGGCCCUCAAGAGGGUUUUAAAGAAACCUCCUUGCGGUUUAUCAUUUAAUGUUUUACCCUUGUUUUAUCAUCCAUGGAAAUUGCAAGGUGCAUUAUGCAAUAUGAAGGGUAUUUAGGUUGUCUUGGUGCAUUGAUGAGUUACGGGGGAUCACAUAGAUGAAAAUUUGACCCUUGACAAUUUCACAAGAAGCAUGGGACGUAACCUAUUUGAUGAUGCUUGGAGCUUUGGGAUCAGUUCAGAUGUUACUGGGAUAGAUGAAUAGCCCGAAACUUUGAGAGGAUGCCAUGGAUCUUCUCCCAAUCCUAGACAGAUGGUUUGCUGCAGCACUGCCGUAUGUCGAGUUAGUUUUGGUGAGGCCAUCUCAGGCCCGAUCCAUUGCCUCCUUCAUGCUCCAGACCAAGCUCUCCAUCAAGGUGAUACUCAUCUAAACUGAACUAGAUAUUGAUGUAUCCAAGCAAUAAUCCUCGCUGCCAUCCUCUCCAUUGUUCAGGGAUAUUUGGUAUGAUUUGACUGUGGCAUAUUAUGGAUAUCACAGAUUAUCCUUACCUUCACUACGACCCUAUAUUGGUCAUUCAACACCUCACACCAAAGCCCAAAGGCACCGCAAUCCCCAGAUAGAUAUACAUUGACCCCAGUAAUGCUGAAAUAUUCUGGGUCAGAGAGCGGAGGACAACGACGGCUGCCAGCGACCCGGGCCACCUCACGGCGGAGGAUCUUCUCCGUCCAUGAUUUCCGGGCGUCAGAUCCGCGAGCUCCCAUAUAUUUUCCUGAUUUCCUCACGAUUUGCCUCAAGAGCAUUGGUUGAGAAAACACCUCGAAAGAAAAGGAAGGGCAUGCUGGGCAUGGAAGAAGCAAGAUAUUAGAGAUGGGACACCAAGGAGAGGAAGGCAGGUCUCCAGAAUAAAAAAAGACAGUUCCAAGAGGAAGGAAAGAAGGAAAGUCUGCGGCUUUGGCAGUAUGGAGAUGUUAAAUCUGACGAGGAGCAGGUUUCAGGUGCAAGAAAAGCGGGAGGCCGUCGGUAGAUGAGAGCAGAUUACUCAAGACAGUGUUCAUAGUGUAGUGAAAAUGGUCAUGGUUUACCUGUGACGUUUUGGACUCUCCCAGCAGAACUCAGCCGAAACUAUAUGAAGUGACAGGGCUACAUUUAUGCAGUUAGAACAAGCCAAUGCUGAACGUUCUUAGUUUGAGCAGUAUUUGCUACUCCAUUCAGUUAUUACAUCUUUAGAGUGGAGAGCUAAACUACAUUCUUUCGCCCUUACGAUUAACAAUGUUGUUUUUCUGUGCACUAUAUUUUGUUGUUAUGAGGCAUUCAAAUAUUGAGAAUUUCCAG